rnacentral:piRNA from 1 species
AGCAGCUCUCAUCUGGUGUUUCUACAGU